rnacentral:lncRNA from 1 species
UGAUGGUGUGGUUGACUGUUUGAUAAGGGAUAUCGCCAGUGGAUAGAUUGGUGAUCCGGCGAUUACAGGCGUAAGGAGAACACACUUGAUUGUACCUAAUAACAGUAAUUUUAUGUCGAGACUCAUCUUUUUCAGAAGAAAGCGAAUCUUGAUGAUAAACCAGAUCUUCCCUUUCUCGGGUGGGACUGUAUUUCUCAUUUAUCAUAUCUUUGCCACGUGACUCUGUCUUAUUGUACCAGCUUAUGGCUUACUUUAUGCGAUCGUUA